AGCCGUCCUAGUUCAUAUGUUCCACUCUUUCUGAAUUCCCCCUAUAGAUAUUUUCCUAAUAUUUGAAACUUGUUUUAUUGAGUUUUUACCAAAAAUUGCAUUUAAUAGCCUGUUAUAUUCUGAAAUUAUCGCAGUAUAGCUGCCGGCUGUGCUACGUAAAGCUUGGGGCCGUUUCCACAGACAGGGCUUAGAUUAAACCAGGAGUAGGCCUUAAUGUGUACUAGUUAAACUAGGACAUUUAAGUAGCUUUCAUGAACGUGGCUUAAAUUUGGCUUAGUUAGUUGGAGACUAUGGAGUCCUGGAGUAAGUUAUUGAAAGUAAAAACCAUACUACUGCUACUGAGAAAAAGAAAAAGAGUGGUUGGGCUGCAAUUUGCAGUGAAUUCAAUACAAAUGAAAAUGUAACCACAAGAAGAGUACAACAACUUCAGACUCCAUGGAAGAACCUUAAACUGGCUUUAAAAAGAGAGAAUGCAGAGAUCAGAAGAGAGUGAUUUACUACUGGUGGUGGACCACCAAAAAAAGAGGAAAGGAAUCUGAACAGGGUGGAAGAGCUAGUGCACAGUGAGUGUGUACCCUCCACAUCUGCUAUAACAUCCCUGAGAGAAGAUGCUGCCACCACCUUUCAGCGGAGAACAAACAAGAUGACCAUGCAUGAAAAGUUAGCCAGAGAAUUUCAUGAGCAUAAAAUAAAAAUAAAAUUAGAAAUAUCUGAAGGAAGAACAUGAAAUAAAAAUGAGAAUUCUACAGGUUGAAUUGGAUAUGAAGUUGGAAGAGAAAGGUAUAAUCCCCAAAAAGAUACAGAAAUGAGACAAUAGUGAUGUCCAGCCAUGGUGAUCAAUAUGAUAUGUUAAAAUUAAAUGUUUUGUCAUUUGGAUAUUCACGGG
ensembl:lncRNA